UCUCGGCUAACCUUCGUCUCCUUCAAUUUUCAAAACCCUAAACAAACUCGUAUCCGAGAAUCUCCAUCUCGGGGGAAAAGUCAUAUCUUAUCGCAGUGAAGAGAAAGAAAAAUGAGUAGCCGUUCGAGCAGGACUCUUUAUGUUGGAAAUCUUCCUGGUGAUGUUCGCGAAAGGGAAGUGGAGGAUUUAUUUUACAAGUAUGGUCCCAUAGCCCAUAUUGACUUGAAGAUUCCACCAAGACCUCCAGGUUAUGCAUUUGUUGAGUUUGAAGAGGCUCGAGAUGCUGAAGAUGCUAUUCGUGGUCGUGAUGGCUAUGAUUUUGGAGGACAGCGCUUGCGGGUUGAACUUGCACAUGGCGGUCGUGGCCGUUCGUCCUCAGAUCGUCACAGCAGUUAUGGUGGGGGGCGUGGACGUGGACCAUCCAAACGUUCUGAAUAUCGUGUGUUAGUCACUGGGUUGCCUUCUUCUGCUUCAUGGCAGGAUCUUAAGGAUCACAUGCGUCGAGCUGGGGAUGUUUGUUUCUCCCAAGUUUUUCGCGAUGGUGGUGGGACAACAGGGAUUGUGGAUUACACCAACUAUGAUGACAUGAAGUAUGCUGUCAAGAAACUAGAUGACUCUGAAUUUCGGAAUGCCUUUUCUCGGGCUUAUGUUCGGGUUAAGGAAUAUGAUUCUAAGCGAGAUUCUUCUAGAAGCCCUAGUCGUGGUCGUUCUGUCUCAAGAAGCCGCAGUCGCUCUCGUGGUCGGAGCAAGAGCCGCAGCAAAUCUCCUAGAACCAAACCUUCACGCAAGUCACCUGCAAAGUCAAGAUCAAGGUCUCCUCGUUCUCGGUCUCCAUCAAGGUCUCGCUCUUUGUCAAGAUAUGGAUAUUUGCAGCAAACUGGGAUUGGAUUUUGGGAUCUUGUGGGAAUAUGUUUCAAAUUGCAUGCAACUCGUAUGGUUGCAGAGGUAUGCUGUUUUUUAGAUGGGCAGCUUAAAAACCUUCACUCCUGUCCCUUGUCUAAUGUACAUAGCAUCGUAAAUGUCCAUGGGUGCUAGAUUGGUAACAAAGGAGUCAAUGGACUACAUAAUAGAGCUGGAUUUCUUUUCAAGGAAUUGCAAUAGUAGAGCUGGAUUUCAGUGAAGUAAAUGCACUGGGAAUUCCAAGUAAUCAGUUUUGAGCUAUUCCCAAGCUAAUAGGACAUGCUAUGUGGGUUGACUAUGGAUUUCGGUGGCACUGAAGCUUGCUCAUUCUAUAUCCGCUGGUGUCAAAAUAUUAAAAUUUUAAAUUUAUAUUUUAAGGAUUUCAUUAUGCUAGAUUGGGUUUUAUUCCUUUUGUAGGCUGGUUUGUGGGUUGGUCUUUCCCCCCCCCCCUUUAUUUAACUGCUAAAGAUCUAUGCAUUUCUCCUUUUUAUUCCUUGUGAAUGUGGUGAUUCUGACGUGGAAGGGGCAUCAAGGCUCUUGGACAUAAAAGCUGUUAAAAAGGAACAUGCUGAAUUUUAAACUUGGGUUCUUUCUGGAACUUUUGCAGAUCUCGAUCAAGAUCCAGAUCUCCUUUGCCUUCUCGUGGAAAAGGAAGGAGCAGGAGUCCUAAAAGACCUAGUGUUAGCGGGAGUCCCAAAAGACGCAGUGCUAGCAGGAGUCC